rnacentral:misc_RNA from 1 species
UUUCCUUUGCCUUGUAACAGUGCUUUAUGAGCAUAUGCUAAAGACAUAAAGAAGCACAUAAAGCACUGUUACAAGGCAAAGGAAAUAAGAACAGUCAAAUAGACUUAAAAGUUUACAGUACAACAUUGCAUUAAAAGUAGUACUAACUAGUAACAGGCCAGACAGAAUACCUACUAGUGGAAGAGUAACACAAAUCAAACAUCAAGCCAAUCUUCACACCACCAAAGAGUACAUACAAACUGAGGUUACAGAGAAAUUUAAGAGAUGAUAACCACUAAUGUCUUCAUGUUGUGGCAACCAACCUAUAAUUGGAUCGUUGGAACAUGAACAUGGUUGCCUAAUAAAGCUGCCAUCAUUAUUCACCUAAUACCAACCAGCCAAGAGAGAGGGAAGCCAACCGGUGCAUAAUUGCCCGUAUCUUAGACAUGGAGUUAAAUACCAGACGAAAUUAAAACUUAAUUCUUAAAAUUCCCAGCUCCAAUCUUCUGCACUUCAACUUUGAGAGACUUUAGAUAUCUGACUGCUUCAUCAAUAACCAUUACUGUAUUCAUUUGAUCACCACCAGGUACAAUUCCUCUCAGUGCCUUCACCAUCUUCUUCAUCUUCUGUCGUUUCCUUUCACUGUUAAUGCUGCUACCAUUUCCAGAGGAGUUCUGAAUAGAAGAAGAUCCAUUUUUCCAGGGCUUAGAACCACAAGUUGAGUACGAAUCAGGGGAGUUGCUUCCAUGAUUUCCAUAAGUUCGUGCUGUGCUAACUUCUUCCUCAUCAUAUUCAUCCUGUUCAUCCUCUUCCAAGCUCAAUAAUGCAUCAAUAUCAUCUGAAUCCUCUUUUAGAGAAGAAGAAGAUGCUUCUCUUUCAAUACCAUUGAUCUCUUCUCUAUCAAAAUUCUCUGGGUUGUAACUUCCAUACAUAUUUAAGCCAGGACCACUGAAUUUGUGGGCAACUGCAGGAUGAAACAUAAUUUGGCUUCGAUGAUUGUUCUGAUCGAAAAUAAUGAAAUUCUUUGGGCAAACCUCAGAAGGUUGAAAUUCAAU